rnacentral:lncRNA from 1 species
GGAGAUUAACUAGAAAACAAUUGAUUAAGUAAUAAAUGUCUAAAAAGUCAGCUUCAAUAGUAAGAGUAGCGCCAAUCUUUACAUAUUGAGUACUAUCUUGAGAUUUGACUAGAGUGAAAUUUACCCUCAACAACUUCCCAAUGUCCAACUUUGAAUAUCCUAAAAUGGCAUUAAACUCUCUCUUGAUGAUUACGGAAAAUUAAAUGUAGAGUCAAAAUAUAGCUAGAUGAACAUGAAAGUGAUUGAUUCUAGUAUGUUAACAUUGUCCAAAUUUUCUCAUUCGCUAGAAAUAAAAGUUAACAAAACACCACCUUUUUCGAGUUUCAACACACUCCACACCCUCUCCAAAGACUUGAGCAAAGUUUACCAACUUGGUCGCGAUUCACUCUUACCAUUUAAGCUGGUUCUUGAUCUCUUCCGAAAUCACACCCUUAAUAACAUAAGUAUCGAACAUUUUUGGAAUAUUAGUCGAGUUCUUCCUCCCCCGAAGAUGAGAAGCGAGGUAAAUCUUAUUAAGCAACUUCACUUUACAUAUAUGGCACCACAGUUCAGGUGUCUGAUUACUGCCAGCACCAUUUAGAUUUGUUUGCUCCUGGGUCUGUCGAUCACUUUCCACAUGAGGUUGAAUUAUUUCCUCUGUUUUUCUGUCCAAAUUUGCGUUGAUUUAUGAGUCGUGGAUGGUAAAGAACCUCUGCUUUUCGUAUCUUGUUUGCUUCCUUUCAGUGCUUCGCACUUGGACUUGUGCUGAUUCCCCUC